GUAGGUGGCAAGCGUUGUCCGGAAUUAUUGGGCGUAAAGCGCGCGCAGGCGGUUCUUUAAGUCUGAUGUGAAAGCCCACGGCUCAACCGUGGAGGGUCAUUGGAAACUGGAGAACUUGAGUACAGAAGAGGAAAGCGGAAUUCCACGUGUAGCGGUGAAAUGCGUAGAGAUGUGGAGGAACACCAGUGGCGAAGGCGGCUUUCUGGUCUGUAACUGACGCUGAGGCGCGAAAGCGUGGGGAGCAAACAGGAUUAGAUACCCUGGUAGUCCACACCGUAAACGAUGAGUGCUAAGUGUUAGGGGGUUUCCGCCCCCCUUAGUGCUGCAGCUAACGCAUUAAGCACUCCGCCUGGGAGUACGGCCGCAAGGCUG
rnacentral:rRNA from 1 species